UCUUUAAGACAAUGAGAGAGGCUGGGCGCAGCGACUCAGGCCUGUAAUCCCAGCACUUUGGGAGGUGGAGGCGGGGGGAUCACUUGAGAUCAGGAGUUGGAGACCAGUC